rnacentral:rRNA from 1 species
CCUACGGGGGGCAGCAGUGAGGAAUAUUGGUCAAUGGACGAGAGUCUGAACCAGCCAAGUAGCGUGAAGGAUGACUGCCCUAUGGGUUGUAAACUUCUUUUAUAUGGGAAUAAAACGUUCCACGUGUGGGAUUUUGUAUGUACCAUAUGAAUAAGGAUCGGCUAAUUCCGUGCCAGCAGCCGCGGUAAUACGGAGGAUCCGAGCGUUAUCCGGAUUUAUUGGGUUUAAAGGGAGCGUAGGUGGAUUGUUAAGUCAGUUGUGAAAGUUUGCGGCUCAACCGUAAAAUUGCAGUUGAAACUGGCAGUCUUGAGUACAGUAGAGGUGGGCGGAAUUCGUGGUGUAGCGGUGAAAUGCUUAGAUAUCACGAAGAACUCCGAUUGCGAAGGCAGUUCACUGGACUGCAACUGACACUGAGGCUCGAAAGUGUGGGUAUCAAACAGGAUUAGAUACCCCAGUAGUC